CGCAAUGGGCGAAAGCCUGACGGAGCGACGCCGCGUGAUGGAUGAAGUCCUUCGGGACGUAAACAUCUUUUAUGUGUGAAGAAGUUAUUGACAUUAACACAUGAAUAAGGGGCUCCUAACUCUGUGCCAGCAGGAGCGGUAAUACAGAGGCCCCAAGCGUUACCCGGAAUCAUUGGGCGUAAAGGGUGUGUAGGUGGUUGUGUUAGUCUUCUGUGAAAGGCUUCGGGCUUAACCCGGAGAGCGCAGGGGAAACGGCACGACUUAGAGGAUGUGAGGGGUGUGCAGAACUCAUAGUGUAGGGGUGAAAUCCGUUGAUAUUAUGGGGAAUACCAGAAGCGAAGGCAGCGCACUGGCGCAAUCCUGACACUGAAACACGAAAGCGU
rnacentral:rRNA from 1 species